CUGCCGUGGGCGCUGGAGAACUGAGGGGGGCUGCUCCUAGUACGAGAGGACCGGAGUGGACGCAUCACUGGUGUUCGGGUUGUCAUGCCAAUGGCACUGCCCGGUAGCUAAAUGCGGAAGAGAUAAGUGCUGAAAGCAUCUAAGCACGAAACUUGCCCCGAGAUGAGUUCUCCCUGACCCUUUAAGGGUCCUGAAGGAACGUUGAAGACGACGACGUUGAUAGGCCGGGUGUGUAAGCGCAGCGAUGCGUUGAGCUAACCGGUACUAAUGAACCGUGAGGCUUAACCUUACAACGCCGAAG
rnacentral:rRNA from 1 species